rnacentral:rRNA from 1 species
UACGGAGGGUGCAAGCAUUGAUCGGAAUUACUGGGCGUAAAGGGCGCGUAGGCGGUUAGAAAAGUCAGAUGUGAAAUUCCGGGGCUCAACCUCGGAGCUGCAUCCGAAACUUUCUAGCUAGAGUUCAGUUAGGGAAAACGGAAUUCCACAUGUAGCGGUGAAAUGCGUAGAUAUGUGGAGGAACACCGGUGGUGAAGACGGUUUUCUGGGCUGAAACUGACGCUGAGGCGCGAAAGCAAGGGGAGCAAACAGG